AUUGAACGCUGGCGGCAGGCUUAACACAUGCAAGUCGAACGGUAACAGGGAGAAACUUGUUUCUCUGCUGACGAGUGGCGGACGGGUGAGUAAUGCUUGGGAAUCUGCCUUAUGGAGGGGGAUAACCACUGGAAACGGUGGCUAAUACCGCGUAAUAUCUUCGGAUUAAAGUGUGGGACUUUCGAGCCACACGCCAUAAGAUGAGCCCAAGUGAGAUUAGGUUGUUGGUGAGGUAAUGGCUCACCAAGCUUACGAUCUCUAGCUGGUUUGAGAGGAUGACCAGCCACACUGGGACUGAGACACGGCCCAGACUCCUACGGGAGGCAGCAGUGGGGAAUAUUGCACAAUGGGCGCAAGCCUGAUGCAGCCAUGCCGCGUGAAUGAAGAAGGCCUUAGGGUUGUAAAGUUCUUUCAUUAGUGAGAAAGCGGUUAUAUCUAAUAGGUGUAACCAUUGAUGUUAGCUAAAGAAGAAGCACCGGCUAACUCCGUGCCAGCAGCCGCGGUAAUACGGAGGGUGCGAGCGUUAAUCGGAAUGACUGGGCGUAAAGGGCACGCAGGCGGUUAUUUAAGUCAGAUGUGAAAGCCCCGAGCUUAACUUGGGAAUUGCAUUUGAUACUGGGUAACUAGAGUCCUCUAGGGAGGGGUAGAAUUCCAAGUGUAGCGGUGAAAUGCGUAGAGAUGUGGAGGAAUACCGAAGGCGAAGCAGCCCCUUGGAGAGAGACUGACGCUCAUGUGCGAAAGCGUGGGUAGCAAACAGG
rnacentral:rRNA from 1 species